rnacentral:rRNA from 1 species
AUGUCCAGCAACUACAAUCCCCCUUGUUCUCUUCCUCCCUCCCCUCACCCCCAAGAAGCUGAGAGUUGCGCCGCCGCCAUCCAGCAGUUGGGGGAAAACAAAAAUAUCUCAGCCGGCGAACCCCACCAACUCCCCGCCCUGCUGCCAUUGACCAUUUUGGUGGCCACUGAACCCGGUCGCGACUGCCAGUGCCUAAGUAGUACUACUACAAUUGAAGUGAGGGGUGAAGAAGUUGUACUAAGGGAAGGGACGGUGGGUGCACCCGGCGCCGGCGCCGCGUGCGGUGGACACGUCGGCGGUAGCGCUGUCGAUGCUACUAGCGAUGCUUGUGGUGGCGCGACGGGGCAGCGGGUGCGGGCCGGCGCAGGUGCCUCAAUGGAUUGUGCCUGCCAGAGAUAG